UAUGUGAGGGUGGCUGCCCCUUCCUGCUGGCCCUACUGUGUUUUUCAUAUUGUAUGUGUAUGAAAUGAAAUUGCUACAGCACUUUCAAAUGUCCCUGCCUAUCUUGGUUUCCCCAACUAAGUCACAAGCUAGGUGGCCAAAGCUGCUCACCUGUCCGAUAGGUUUAAUGCCAGUUAUCUAACUGAAGUUAAAUGUUUUCGAGAUGACCUAGGGUCCACUUCCUUCUCUUUGCACUUGUAAUCUAUUUCUCAGAAUUGUGUUCAGUGUUAUAAACCUUUCACUUUUGGAGUUUCCAACAUAGAUUAUUUCAAGUAUAUUCUAAAAACCUUGUCAAGAAGGUGUUCCAGGGUCCUGCUUUAAUGCAAUUAGCAUAUUAGUUUAUUUGUGAAUAAACACUGGUUUGUUAACUAUUCCCCCUAGAAAUCUUAGGUAAACUAGUAAUUUCUUAAGCAAACCCACUCUUCAUUGUGCUAAAACUAGCCAGUCCAGCCCGUAUGUCAGUUUGUCCAGAAUCUGACUGAGGUCAGAAACAGGUCUUGAGGGCAAAAGGAGUGUGAACUUGAAAAUACUGCUUGAUAAUUUCAUUAAUACAAAUCACAGUAGCAUUGAAAGCAGCUCUGACAAGUGGACCUUGUUCAGUUCAGGCAGCUAAAGGAGAAGGUAUCUAGUACUCUGCCUGGAACUGAAAGUUCAUCCCAGAAAAAAAAUAGGCUUUGGAGCACAGAGGUAUUUUCUUUGAGGAAAAAGAACCGAACUGUCAGCACUGGGUACAACUGCCAAAAAGAAAAACAUAAAACUGUGCCCAAGCACUAGCUACAAGGCCACACCAAAUAAGAAAAGCUGGCUCCUGUAAGUUUCAGGACAGGAGCUAUUCCUCAUUCAAGUUUUCCCCAGCACCUAGCACAUAGUAAGGUGCUCAGUUUGUGGGUGUUGAAUAAAUGUGUGAAUGCUCAAGAUGACUUCCUGGUAAUUGGGUUCAGGAAUCUACUGGGAGGAGCUUCAACCUGUUCCUGUAAGUUCCCUUUUAGAAAGUCUCAGAAGUGGUUGCUUGUCUUCCAAGAAGACAAUGUGGGGAGGAAGCCUGAAGAGAGGACAGGCUGGCAGAUGGGAGCAGAGUGCAUGCUAGCUCAAAACCCUGAAAUCCUUCCAAGAGCAGUGACUAGGUGACUCCACUAGACAGCCACCACCUGCAGCAGAGUUCAAAGCUAGAAGAGGAUAUAUGAAAGUGUUCUGAGGGUAUGGAGCUGCCUGGGCCAAGUACAGUCACAUGCCAGCCUCUACUCUUCCUUUGGGAACAGCACCUCACUUUCCACCGCAGCAGAGCACCCCAGCAUUGCUUGCCUGAGGAACAGACUGUUCUACAGGGGCCCUGGCUUCAUGGCCCACCCAGAAGCACCCAGCUGCCAACUUGGGGACCAGUGAGCGCCUACAGCCUUAGCUGAGCCACAUGGACACAUCUUCCAGUGAGGCUUGGACACCAGCACCUCAUGCUCUUGUUCAUGGGUCCCUCACAUCAGCCACUGCUCCUUCUCCUUGAUGAAGUGCUCUGCCCAGCGGCGGGUCAGCUCCAGAUCAUCUUCAACUGAGAAACAAUUCAUGAAAACCUGCCAGGUUCAUUUCCUGCAAAACCAAUCCCUGAGCUUCGGAGCUGUCCAUGCCUGCAGUGCUGAAUCGCUCUGGCCAGGAGAGCUAUAGAGCACCAGGCAGGUCAGACGACUUUUGGUUCCAUCCGCAAAUAGCAAAACAAAGUGGAGAGGGUGGCAAUGCCACACCCACCCAGAAGCCCCAGUCCUACCUCCCAAGAAGAGGAUCUCUGAGGUCCCACACGGAGAAGAGCCCUGUGCAAAAAUGCAUCUUGGUGCUUCUUGGGGCAUUUACUGUGACUAUGUCUCUAGACUGUAAACCUGAAGGAUGGCCCCUGUCUUAUUUAUCUUUGUAUUCUUCUCACCCCUCUUUGUCGUUCCCUAUUUCCCCCCUCUUUCACAAACCAUGUCCAGGUAUGAUAUUAAAAUGUACUGUAAAAUGUA